AGUAAGACCCCUCAGAGAUGAUGAGGUAGAUAGGAUGGAAGUGGAAGUGCCGUGAGGCAUGGAGCGGACCAUUACUAAUCGGUCGAUGACUUAACCAAG
rnacentral:rRNA from 1 species